CCCCCAUGCAGAACACGUGGUCGAUAGGCCGGACGUGGAAGCCGUGCGAGCGGUGGAGCCGACCGGUACUAACGGG
rnacentral:rRNA from 1 species